UACAGAGGUCUCAAGCGUUGUUCGGAUUCAUUGGGCGUAAAGGGUGCGUAGGUGGCGCGCUAAGUCAGGUGUGAAAUUUCGGAGCUUAACUCCGAAACUGCAUUUGAUACUGGCGUGCUUGAGGACUGGAGAGGAGACUGGAAUUUACGGUGUAGCGGUGAAAUGCGUAGAUAGUCGUAAGGAAGACCAGUGGCGAAGGCGGGGU
rnacentral:rRNA from 1 species